rnacentral:rRNA from 1 species
UUGUUUCUUUUUCUUCCGCUUACGGUAUGC